rnacentral:misc_RNA from 1 species
GAAAUGCGAUAAGUAAUGUGAAUUGCAGAAUUCAGUGAAUCAUCGAAUCUUUGAACGCAACUUGCGCUCCUUGGUAUUCCGAGGAGCAUGCCUGUUUGAGUGUCAUUUAAUUCUCAACCCCUACAGUUUUUGUGACUGGUUAGGUGGCUUGGAUGUGGGGGAUUAACUGCGGGCCUCUUUCAGAGGUCGGCUCCCCUAAAAUGCAUUAGCGGAACCGUUUGCGGAAACCGUCACUGGUGUGAUAAUUAUCUACGCCAAAGGACGUCUGCUCUCUGGUAGUUCUGCUUCUAAUUGUCCUUUCAUAUUGGACAACGUAUACUCAUUACUUGACCUCAAAUCAGGUAGGACUACCCGCUGAACUUAAGC